rnacentral:rRNA from 1 species
CCCUUAGACGUUCUGGGCCGCACGCGCGCUACACUGACCAGUGCAACAAGCAUCCGUCCUUGGCCGACAGGCCCGGGCAAUCUUUGAACGCUGGUCGUGAUGGGGAUAGACUUUUGCAAUUUUUGGUCUUCAACGAGGAAUUCCUAGUAAACGCGAGUCAUCAACUUGCAUUGAUUACGUCCCUGCCCUUUGUACACACCGCCCGUCGCACCUACCGAUUGAAUGGUCCGGUGAAGCCUCCGGAUUGGCGCGCACCUCGGUGCCGCCGAGAAGUUGGCUAAAUCUUACCAUUUAGAGGAAGGUGAANUCGUAACA